rnacentral:rRNA from 1 species
GCUGGGUGGAUUAGUGGCGAACGGGUGAGUAACACGUGAGUAACCUGCCCUUAACUCUGGGAUAAGCCUGGGAAACUGGGUCUAAUACCGGAUAGGAGCGCCCACCGCAUGGUGGGUGUUGGAAAGAUUUAUCGGUUUUGGAUGGACUCGCGGCCUAUCAGCUUGUUGGUGAGGUAAUGGCUCACCAAGGCGACGACGGGUAGCCGGCCUGAGAGGGUGACCGGCCACACUGGGACUGAGACACGGCCCAGACUCCUACGGGAGGCAGCAGUGGGGAAUAUUGCACAAUGGGCGAAAGCCUGAUGCAGCGACGCCGCGUGAGGGAUGACGGCCUUCGGGUUGUAAACCUCUUUCAGUAGGGAAGAAGCGAAAGUGACGGUACCUGCAGAAGAAGCACCGGCUAACUACGUGCCAGCAGCCGCGGUAAUACGUAGGGUGCGAGCGUUAUCCGGAAUUAUUGGGCGUAAAGAGCUCGUAGGCGGUUUGUCGCGUCUGUCGUGAAAGUCCGGGGCUUAACCCCGGAUCUGCGGUGGGUACGGGCAGACUAGAGUGCAGUAGGGGAGACUGGAAUUCCUGGUGUAGCGGUGGAAUGCGCAGAUAUCAGGAGGAACACCGAUGGCGAAGGCAGGUCUCUGGGCUGUAACUGACGCUGAGGAGCGAAAGCAUGGGGAGCGAACAGGAUUAGAUACCCUGGUAGUCCAUGCCGUAAACGUUGGGC